rnacentral:lncRNA from 10 species
ACCGUUUUAGCCGGGAUGGUCUCGAUCUCCUGACCUCGUGAUCCGCCCGCCUCGGCCUCCCAAAGUGCUGGGAUUACAGGCGUGAGCCACCGCGCCCGGCCUGCACGCUCCCAUUUUCAAAACAUCCUAUAAAGCUCAGCCCUGUUCAAUGUGAGCAGGUCAUACCCGGAUGUCAGGAGGGCAGAUUCGUUGGGACAAUCGUGCAGGCUGGGC